GAACCAGCCAAGUAGCGUGAAGGAUGACUGCCCUAUGGGUUGUAAACUUCUUUUAUAUGGGAAUAAAGUGAGCCACGUGUGGCUUUUUGUAUGUACCAUACGAAUAAGGAUCGGCUAACUCCGUGCCAGCAGCCGCGGUAAUUGA
rnacentral:rRNA from 1 species